rnacentral:rRNA from 1 species
AUGCGUUGUUUGCGUUUAGUUAGAACGCUGGCUCGUGUACUUCAGGAGCCCAACCACAUACGUACUCAAGCACACACACAACCAGCUCUUUAUAUACUAGCAGCAGUAUGUCAGGAACCCUUCAUGGAUGAGGACGACCACCGGGACCUCCACAGUGAUGUUGACGCCCCACACAAGGUCGAGCUAGAUGGAAGAACGGUGCCUUGGUCACUAGCCGCGGUCGCGGUCGUCUACGCCAAUGUGCUGCGGCCGAGCUGGCCCAGCGACCACAUCGUGUACAAGGGCCAACUCCACCUAUACAGCUCCUCAGGAAAGAAGAAGUGCCGUCACUGGUCUGAAACUCAUGACAGGGGAAAGGAUUCCAUCACUGCCUUUUGA